GAUGAACGCUGGCGGCGUGCCUAAUACAUGCAAGUCGAGCGAACAGACGAGGAGCUUGCCCCUCGGACGUUAGCGGCGGAGGGGUGAGUAACACGUGGAAAACCUACCUAUAAGACUGGGAUAAAUUCGGGAAACCGGAGCUAAUACCGGAUAAUAUAUUAAACCGCAUGGUUCAAUAGUGAAAGACGGUUUUGCUGCUACUUAUAGAUGGAUCCCCGCCGCAUUAGGUAGUUGGUAAGGUAACGGCUUACAAAGGCAACGAUGCGUAGCCGACCUGAGAGGGGGAUCGGCCACCCUGGAACUGGGCCCCGGUCCAGACCCCUACGGGAGGCGGCGUUAGGGAAUCUUCCGCAAUGGGCGAAGGCCGGACGGGGCAACGCCGCGGGAGGGAUGAAGUUCUUCGGUCGGUAAAACUCUGUUAUUAGGGAGGAACAAUUGUGUAAGUAACUAUGCACGUCUUGACGGUACCUUAUCAGAAAGCCACGGCUAACUACGUG
rnacentral:rRNA from 1 species